GAUGAACGCUGGCGGCGUGCUUAACACAUGCAAGUCGAACGAUGAAGCCCAGCUUGCUGGGUGGAUUAGUGGCGAACGGGUGAGUAACACGUGAGUAACCUGCCCUUAACUCUGGGAUAAGCCUGGGAAACUGGGUCUAAUACCGGAUAGGAGCGCCUACCGCAUGGUGGGUGUUGGAAAGAUUUAUCGGUUUUGGAUGGACUCGCGGCCUAUCAGCUUGUUGGUGAGGUAUGGCUCACCAAGGCGACGACGGGUAGCCGGCCUGAGAGGGUGACCGGCCACACUGGGACUGAGACACGGCCCAGACUCCUACGGGAGGCAGCAGUGGGGAAUAUUGCACAAUGGGCGAAAGCCUGAUGCAGCGACGCCGCGUGAGGGAUGACGGCCUUCGGGUUGUAAACCUCUUUCAGUAGGGAAGAAGCGAAAGUGACGGUACCUGCAGAAGAAGCACCGGCUAACUACGUG
rnacentral:rRNA from 1 species